UUUUUUUUGGUGACCUUUUUGUCAGCCUGAUCUAGGAAAAUAAAACCAGGAGACUUCUGGGAACACAGGGACCCAACUUUCUCCUUCUGCUUCCUGACAAGUUGCCUGAUCUUUCUAGCCCAUUCUGCACCACCAUCCCUGCUCCACGCCUCCCAAGAUUCUGCUCUCUUUGAGAAAGGGGACUAGGUAGAAGUGAGGAGCCAAUCAAGUUAUAUCCAAAUUCAGUUUAUUAUGGGACACUUCUCCAUGGGGCUGUACUGUAUAUGUAUUAGAAUAAUUCCAUGCGCUUGGUAAAUAUAUCAUUAUGUGCUGGCUUAUUUGUUUUCACUCUGCUAGAAUCAACAAGAAGUCACACAAGAUCAACCCAUAUUAUUUUGUGGCUUAUGAGAAGCAACAUGCCAACCAGUAGUUAAUCUUCAUGGUGAAGCAAAGAACACAAAAUUUGGAUUUAAAAAAGAAAAGCUACAGAGAGGAAGGAAAAAGGCUGCUGCUCAUUCUAUAGUAUGGUAUUGUUCCUGAAAGGUCAUCCAUCCAUGAAGAAAACCACCAGGAGAAAUUUCACCUGCCAAACUUGCUGGGUAUGCCAAGAUUUCAAGGACUUGGCUGCUCUUUACUUGGGCCAUUUCUCAGGAUUGUGUUUGCAGCAAGAAACCCAAGGGAUGAGGUAACGUCUCCCUCUGGGACAAAGAACAAGCCUGCUUACUGCCUACAAUGACAUGGCAGGUUCCUCCAACUCAGCAUUCUUCUUCUGUAAUGUGACCUAUGGCCUGUGCAAGCAUCCACCUGAGCCCUUCACGUCAGACUUGGGAGGCAAGGGGAACUGAUGCAAACAAAUCUGAUGCUUAUGCUACCUGUUGUAUUAUGAGCAAUAAAGUCCUUUGU